rnacentral:rRNA from 1 species
AACGAACGCUGGCGGCGUGGUUUAGGCAUGCAAGUCGAGCGAGAAAGUCCUUCGGACGAGUACAGCGGCGAAAGGGUGAGUAAUAUAUAGGUAACCUACCUCUUGGACUCGGAUAAUUCCUGGAAACGGGUUGUAAUACGAGAUCGUCCUAUUGGGUCGCAUGGCCCGACUGGUAAAUGGUAGCUCUGCUUCUGCCGAGAGAGGGGCCUAUAUCCUAUUAGCUAGUUGGUGAGGUAAUGGCUCACCAAGGCUUUGAUGGGUAGCCGGACUGAGAGGUUGGCCGGUCACACUGGGACUGAGACACUGCCCAGACUCCUACGGGAGGCUGCAGUCGAGAAUCUUCCGCAAUGGGCGAAAGCCUGACGGGGGCGACGCCGCGUGAACGAAGAAGGCCUCGGUGUAAG